UGUUUAUUCACUUUCCGAAGAAUAAUUUAUUUUAACAAUAAAUGUGCUGCCCAAUUAAAUUAGGUUGCUUUACUACACAGCAUAUCGAUCGAUCAAAAGAUAUUAUAAUUACUAACAAUAUGUUGAAUUUAGAGUUUUAGUUUGAAAUUAAUUAUAAAUGUGAUAAUGUAUGAUGUGGAUUGUUGCACUUAAAAUUUCUUCUGUCAUUGACUUUAAUUUAGAUUUGUUUAGCCUA